AAAGGGAGACCUAAUUCAGGUAAAAGACGAAAAAAAGUAGUCGCUACCAAGAAUCAAUCCCAAAAGGUCGGAGCGAGGCGAAAUUGGCUUUCAAACUAGGUUCUGGGUUCACACAAGACCUGAAUCAGGAACAAGGGCUAUUAGCUCAGGUGGUUAGAGCGCACCCCUGAUAAGGGUGAGGUCCCUGGUUCGAGUCCAGGAUGGCCCACCUGCACAGGUGGCAAAAACAAGAGAAGCUCCGAAUCAGCACCUUAUCUUACUGACAUAGUAAGAGAGAAUGCUGGCUCUGAGUAAAGAGUCCAGAGGAACCUUGAAAACUGCAUAGAGCUAGGUGAAAAAGCCAAAAAAGAAGACCGCAAG
rnacentral:tRNA from 1 species